rnacentral:lncRNA from 1 species
UAAGUCCUUGGGGCACAACAUACCCUCAGCAUGGCCCAGAAGCUGAGCUCCUGUGUGUUCUGUGUAUAUUUUUUGGGGGGUGGGAGAUAGAAUGGUGUGCAUGGACAAAUAAAUGUAGUAGUAGUGCAAAGCUGUGUACUCAGACACUGCCUGUCAGGCCAAGUGACUUGUCAAAUCAAAGCCUUCUUGAGCAUGCAGCUCUCCCUCUUCCUUUCUCAAAGGGAAGAGUUCCUUCUCAAAGAGCUCUUUCCCCAGUCCCUGCAUUUCCAGGAUCACAAAGCAGGUCUGUCCAUUUUCCUUUGUGCUAUAGAAAGAAAAGGAAUGUCCUUAAAAUGGCAUGUUUCUGUGCAAAGGAGCUGACCCUGACAAGGUCUUGUGAUACUUCUCCAAUUUAGCCUUGCAGCCCCAAUAGGGAUUAAAGAACUGAAACCCAAAACCCAACGCCCACAAGGCCCAGGAAGUCACAUCAGGGAUGACACAAGGGACACAAGAGAAAUGCCCACAUGGUGUUGGCUAGAGCUGCUCUUGGUCUGCCAAUCUACACAUUUGCAUGCGUUAACACGACACUUUUUCAAAUUGCUUGGCCGUCAUAUUACUCUGAUAUUCACGGAACUAUCACUGUGGUAAGGAGAAAGAAAGCAUCUCUUUUCUUAUUGUAUAUAUGUUGCUUCAAGGCUGUUCUUAUCUACAAGUAGACACACAUCUACACACCCUUCAGAGUUGUACUGGAAGACAUGCUCCUCUCUCCUUUAUCAGUGUACACCAACUCAUCAGCCAGAAUGCCUUUCUCUGGAACACAUUUUUUCAAUUUCUGAGCAAAAACUGCAGUAACCUCAGUUUCUCUUCAUCAGACAAAUUAAAGAUGCAUACCAAAUGAACUCUCUUCAAAUACUUGUCUUGAUCAGAGUGGAAACAUUUCUGUUGUGGACAGCGAUGUUAUAGCAGUGCUAUGUACGGGGUGUUCAAGAUCAGAAAGGGCUUUGAACUUCCAAGAUGGAAGUGGUUCCAAUAGAACGGGUGAAGUUUGGUGGGUUCCCAUAAUGAAAAUCCUUGAGAGCUGGAAUGGAUUCUCCUGAGAGGCUGUGGAAUUGCCAUUGCUGAAGAUUUUCAUAACUUGACAAGGAUAUGAGCAGUCUGAUGCUGCCAGGAGUGUGUAUGCAAAGUCGGGUCUUGUGCACAAACACUUUGUGUAUGAUUGAAUAUUAGUGUUCUACCAUUAGCACAGUAAGUCAGCGUGCAGGGGAUCUGAGACACAAGUGGAUUUGAAGCAACACAGCAACUAACAACAGAAACCUCAGUGGUGCUGCAAAACCUCUCAAGAGCUGGUGAUUGGAUGGUAUAAAACAAAGCCUCAGUCAUAACUUGCCAUUUACACCUAUCCGUGCUGUAAUUGAGUGAAAAGAGCUCACUGAAGGUUUCUCCUUGUACCACUGCUGUGUUCUUCCCUCAGUGUAACAUCCCUCUGUGCUAAUGUGGGCAUGUUCUACAAGAGGAAAAGGAAAGACAGCAGAGAGGAAAACACUUCUUGUCUUGAGUAAAAGAUCUGUCAGGUACUCGGCCCCAUCCUGACUCCUUGACCAUAUGGAGAGGAUUGCAGCAGUCAGCUGGGAUGUGAGAACUAAUCUUCCUGCUGUUGUCAGCAGUCAAGUGCAUGCACUGGAUGUAGGGUACUAAGGAAGAGUAAUAAUGAAAGAGGUGGCAAUAUGUUUUGGAUCAUGUAGGGUAAGGCAUGACUCCAAGUUCCUUACAGUGGAGGAGAUGGGCUCUCUGGUUCUGAAAAACAUUUUCCAAAACAUACAGAAGAUGAAUAUCUGCUGGUUACCUAUUGGAGUUUGGGUUCAGUGCCUAAGGCACAGUAACAUAGAAAUUCCAGAUGUUACCUCCAAGAAAGAUAAAAUCAUGAAGCCACUCUUCACACACAUCUCCUGAGACUUCAGGUUGAACUUCUUUCCGGCAUUGCACUCUGAAAAGUGUAUGAGGAAGAAAAUACAAGGAAUUAUGAAUCAGAGCUACAGAAGAGAACUGCAGCACCGAGAAAGGAAUAUAAAACACCAGAAGUUUCACAGUGUAUUUUCUUUUCUCAUUUAUCAAAUAGUAUUCUGGCCAGGGCCUAUUUGAAAUGUACUGUAUUAAAAUGAUCAGGAAAAAAAAAAAAGUACUGUUUUUUGCAUGGUUUACAAUAUUUUGUUAACAUCUUAUCAGCUUUAAACUGUAUGCCCAGUGAUGGGUAGCAUAAAAUGUAGUAUGUGUUUAAUACGGGGUUCUUGUGAUGCAUUCUGCAGUCUACCUGCUGGUGUUUUUGAAAUCCGUUUCCAGAAGGAACCGCACUCCAAGAAAAUGUUUAAAUUUUGCAUUGUUACAGGUAUAAUCUGAUAGAAGUGGGUUAGCCUGUGAUUCAGUGUGGCUUGUGUGCAGCCGAACUGUAGGCCUUGCUGCAGCCUGCAUAACUGGUAUGGCAGCGCAAAGCCGCGCUGGUGUGCGAGGCUGUUAGGCAAUCGGUAUUCCUGGCUGAGGAAGACAGUGAAUCAGCAGGCAUGGCUGAAGGUGACAGUGACAAAUGGCCCCGAGUCUCUGCUGUGUAGCCAGCACAGUCAAGUCUUGUUCUUCAGCCCAGUGAUGAAACUGGUGAGGUUCCCUCCAGAGGAUCACAUCAACAGCAAUUUAUCCUCAAUUCUUCAAAGACCAUGGCGUGAGUCUUCUGACUUUGAGACACAUGCAGAUAUGAGUCUCUGGCCCAGAGGCAAGAAACUGGAUUUCUCUUGCUUAGAAGAAUGUGCAUUUAUUGUAAAUCUUCCAUCCACUUGGGAAUUCUUCUGGGGCCCUGGUUUGUAGGUGUUUCAUUCUUUAAAUAUUGCAUUACAAUAAUAUUCAGAAAUAUCUGAGUCAGUAAAUGUUUUCCCAAUGACUGUGAGAAGCAGGAGUGUGACAAAGCACAGAUCAGUACCUUGAGAUCUGCGAAGCCUAUAUAUAUCACUGAUAUCUCACUGAUAUACGUAUAUAUACUGAUAUAUGUAUAUAUCAGUGAGAUAGUUUCAAUGAUGAUACUCACCUGUCUUUGACAUGCUUUAUGGUGUUGAACAUGUAUUAAUGGUUUGCAUGCAGCUGAAUGGUGCAGUGCACAAUAAGUUCAAACCAUUACCUGGGAUAUACUUCUCUAUUUAGAAAGUGUUAUAGUUCACUGAAGACUUUUAAUGUUAAAUUUCCCCCUGCUUUGGUUUGAAUUAGUAGUGCUGGCUUCUCUGCCUUUUUAGAAACAGUUCCUGUUUAAAUGGAAUCUCUUUGGCUUAUCAGAGGGAAAUAUUUGAGAAAAUAUUGUGAUAACUGUGAGACCUGGAAAUUUAAUUGCUUUCAUUUUGCAUCUUUCUACAGAUUUUUUUUUCCAGUGCUGGAUAUAUUUGGCUGCAAUAGGGACUGUAGAAUGAAUGACAACUUUGUUUCCAUAAAGCUGGAAGGAGUCAGAUGUUCAAAGUUCAUUAAAGUCUUUUCCUAUCUUAGGAGCUCCACGGAUAUGCAAUAUGAAAAUGUUUUGCAUUUAGAUGAACCAGCAGAACUCAGACAGCAGGAAUUACCCAUACGGAUGGACUAUCACCACAUCAUCUGGAAAGGCCUCAAUACUGAGCAUGUGUCUCUUGAUGUUCCAUUUCCGUGGAAUCGAUGAGAGGGAUUGGACAUACUGACUCUGCAGUACCAGUCAUCUUUUGUGUCCCUCUGCUUCCUAUGGGACUUUCAGGCAUGGACACUGCAUCCCACCUGCCCAUGAUAUCCUCAGUGUGCUAGAUCAUAGCAAGGCUUACUGAUAAGAGGAAAAUAUGACACUAAAUCGUCUAAUUCUUGAUCGAGGGCAGUUAAACUCACAACUGGCAGCUGCCAUCAUAUCACACUGUGAAUACAAAGGUCGCAGAGAGUCUGAGCAACACUUAAGGUCACUUGUCCUUGAAACAAUUUAUAACGUGGACCCCACACUAGAGGACUGUGUGGAGGUUAUUGGUGUAGUGCUCAUGCAGAGGGCAUGGCAAACAAGGCAGCAGAAACGGAGAAUCUGUGUCCUGGCUUUAGAACAUCUCCUGGCAGAUGUGCUGCUCCCAUGAGAAGCAGUAAGAUGGGUGUGGAGAGAGAGUGGUGUACUUCCAUACCACAGCUUUCAGGUCUUCCUGGGCUGACAAGAGCACUCCUACUGCCAGCAGGCAAAAAGCAGGAGGAGAUUUGGAAAUGGAGCUUCGGUAGUUUGUUCCGCUCAUUACACCCAGUUCUUUCCAGUCAGUUGGUUAUCCAUUAGCUUGGGAAGUACAAAAAUCACCUGGAGGUAUCACAGCUCUUUUAGGGCAUAUUUAGAAGAUGUAUCUCCCUGUUGUUCUCUCCUUCCAUUUGUCAUCUUUCUCAUUACAGAGGAGCUUAUUCGCUAGCCACUUUGCCAACUCUAGGAUUUAUAGCAGCUGAAGAGAGUACUUUAGGCAGGGAGGAGUGACUGCAUUGACCUCGAACUCCCAGAACUCUCCAAGAAGUCAGUGUAUUAAAGAUAAUGAUGUACCAAGGCGAUAAAAUGUAGAGGCAAUAAAAAUGUUAUACAGAUGUUAAUGCAUACAAGCAAAAUACAUAAUAUGAAAAUGGAAAAAGCCCUAAAUAACUACUGGACAUUUUACAUUGUCUUAAAUACACUUCUGCAGCACCUGUGUGGUUCAGUGGCACAAUUUGUCAUGCAAAUCAUGUUGCUUGCCAGAUAAACCAAAUCUUUCUGACAUCCCCAGUCUCAUUUGUGGGACACUGGUGACAAACUUCAAAACUAGGGUGUGGGAGAAAAGUGGAGAAGGGAAACUGAGACCAGCUUAGAAUAUUUUAUUUAAUUUAUGGUGCCUUGAAUUCCUUUUCCUUCUUUUUCCAGUAAUGAAAGAAAGAAAACUCUCCAGUUCUCUGAAGCUACAGCUCUUGAUCUAUGGCCUUUACUUUGGAAAGCACUUAUGUAUGCUUCCAAGUAUUCUUUUCCUUUUUUAAUAGAUGGGACUUAAGCGGAUGUUUAAGUAGUUUGUUUUUGCACUGGUAGUCUUACAAACUAAUAGCUAAUGUUAUGGGUUAAUAUUAUAGCUAUGCUGAAGGGCUGCUGCUGCCUGAGCCCCAGCAAAUGGAAGAUAUGAAGGGAACCAGGAUGUGCAGAAAUGCCUACUCCUGUUGGAAAUAACUUUGUCUUUGCCAAAAAGGGGAGAAUGUGUGAGAAAAGGCUUAUGAUUUCAGCCAGCCUUUCUUUUCAAUGUACUGCACAAAAAAGCACAACAAACCUUCCAUAAAUUAUCAGUUCUUUCCAGUUUUAUUAAACAUAGAGAACCUGUGAUCCUCUUUGUUAAUUCUCUGUGCUGUGUACAGCUAACCCUUUAGUUGUCCUUCACACAUAUUUUGAGAAUAAAAAUUCCUGCAGCUGGAAUACGUCGUAUUGACCAUGUUUUUUGUCCAACAAAGGCUGGAGGAACAUAGAGUUCAAAUGAAUACAUAACGUUUUGUUAAGUUUUUGGCAACUUUACAUGGACAGACUUUAACAAAUGACAAAUUGUGCUUGUCAGCAUAGCAAACUUUGUGCUUCUUAUCAUGUACAGUAUUUCUGAAAAUGGCCAAGAGCAUAACUAUAAAGUGUGUCUGUGUUGUGUAUAGGGUUCUUUGGGAGUAUUAAAAACACAGUGCUCAUGAAUGUAGUUGUUAAUGCUUAAGCUGUAUCUGUUAGUGUGCAAAACCAUAUUUCCUGGUCUAGUAGUAUCUGUGUAAGGAUAGAGGAGUUGCCUGGCACAGUGGAGAUCAGCCUAGUAGGGUGGUGCGAGGCUGGUGGGCAUGGACUGGCACCCUACCAAAUCUUCUGCCUCUGCUGUUGUUGCACACAACACAACUCUGCCCUCUGUAGCUGAUGGCACGUCUGUAUGUGAGCUACCAGGUGUCAGAGCUUCAAAAUGCUGUACAAGAAGAAGAUAAUAAUCUCAAAGGCUAAAAGAGGGCCCAUCUGUUGUCAAUGGGUGUGCCGAGCUCUUUUGCAGCCUUCCGUCUUCCAGAGGACAAAUUACUUUGUUAACUGUUUGCAGCCACCUUAACUCACCUUUUAAAGGAAGAUUUAAAGCUUUUUUAGUUUAACUUUGUAAAAGUUUUUUUUUUUCUUUGUAAUGUCUUUUUAUGAAUCUUAGAAAAGAAAAAACACUGUUUUGGACUUCAUUUUCUUUACCCUGUGUUGGCUGGUAUUUUGCUUUCACUGGUUUUUGUUUCUUUGGAGUUGACAGUGAGGGCACUGGUGUUCCAGUUUAGAAGUACACCUUGUUACCGAAAUGAUGCUGAUCCGCUACAAAAAUGCAGUUAACAUUUUAUAAACAAACAUUUCCCAAUCAUCAUUUUUCUCUGUGAUUUCACAAUGACAAAGCAUGAGGGUAAACAUAAUAUUAAAAUGGGAAUCAUGAUACUCAUGUCAGUGCAACUGUAAAAGCCUAAUCAGUGAUCUCAAAGUCCUUGAAUUUUAAAUACUAUUAUGAUAUGAUUAUUUUUUGCAACACUAAACAGUUAAAUUUUAUACUUAAACACCAUAUCUUCUUUCACUAGCACAUAAUCUACCAGUCAUAUGUUUUAUGAUGAUGUGAGCAUGUAUCUUACCAGCAAAUGUUCUGGCCAACAAUAGCAUCGUUUUUUCAUAAGUAGGAGGAAAAAUAUUUUAAAAAUAGCUUGAGAUAAACCCAACCAGCAGUAAAAGUCUGAUUGUUAAUGCAGAAGAAAUAUGCAAAAAGUAGAAAAAUGAGUUUUCUCAAUAUAUCCUUUGUGAACACCAAACCGUAAAAUAUCACUAGUUUAUCAACAGUACUAAAUAGUGAUUUUUUAAAAAAUGAAAUAGAAAAAAAAACACUAAAAUACACAGAAAGGUUUACAGAACAAAAUUACGUUAUUUUGUUAGUCAAGAUUGAUAUUCUUUAAUUUCUUUAAGUAGGAAAAAAAGACAAGUUAAUGAUAUAUGAGGCCUACACUAAUAAGCUGGAGAUAAACCGAAAUUUUAAUGCAUAGUCCUGCUGUUCGAACAACACUAAAUGUUCUUCUCUCAUAGUUUAACAGAAAAUGGUUGAUUUUUGGUCUUACUUUCAUGUAAUGUAUGUAUUUAAUGAUGAAAAAUACAGUGUUCAUAACCAUUGACUACAUACCUAUAAACUCAAUUAGCUGUGUAGCUUCAUUCUUUGGGAGUCAGAAGGUGUCCCAGGCUAUAUAAUCUGUUGAAUUGACCCGCUUCAGCAAUACAGAAUUGCUAUCGCUGCUUUGACAAUGAAAGAAAAAUACAGUCCUACUUUAACAGUUCUGAAAAUAUCUUGCUUCCAAUGGAAAUCUUAAGGACUGAUAGGUGAGGAAGCACAGUAUAAUUCUGUGAUUAAAAUACUCAGAGGACACGAAUGGAGACUAUCCUUACUCCUGAUUUUUAUUGUUAUUUAAACAUUGACAACUUACAAAUUUGGGAAUACAAUUAUUUGUUUCAUCAGAAUCCCAUUCCAAAGGAGAACAAUUUUAGAGAAUUGAAUCAUCUUUAAAAUUUGUUAUUCAUUUAGUUAUUGUUAAUAUUAGACAAACUAAUUACAUUGACAGCCCAUGGAAAGAGAUACUCAGGA